UGGGGAAUUUUGGACAAUGGGCGAAAGCCUGAUCCAGCAAUGCCGCGUGUGUGAAGAAGGCCUUCGGGUUGUAAAGCACUUUUGUCCGGAAAGAAAUCCUUGGCUCUAAUACAGUCGGGGGAUGACGGUACCGGAAGAAUAAGCACCGGCUAACUACGUGCCAGCAGCCGCGGUAAUACGUAGGGUGCAAGCGUUAAUCGGAAUUACUGGGCGUAAAGCGUGCGCAGGCGGUUUGCUAAGACCGAUGUGAAAUCCCCGGGCUCAACCUGGGAACUGCAUUGGUGACUGGCAGGCUAGAGUAUGGCAGAGGGGGGUAGAAUUCCACGUGUAGCAGUGAAAUGCGUAGAGAUGUGGAGGAAUACCGAUGGCGAAGGCAGCCCCCUGGGCCAAUACUGACGCUCAUGCACGAAAGCGUGGGGAGCAAACAGGAUUAGAUACCCUGGUAGUCCACGCCCUAAAACGAUGUCAACUAGUUGUUGGGGAUUCAUUUCCUUAGUAACGUAGCUAACGCGUGAAGUUGACCGCCUGGGGAGUACGGUCGCAAGAUUAAAACUUAAAGGAAUUGACGGGGU
rnacentral:rRNA from 1 species